AUUAAUGUAAUGGUUCCACCAAACCUUUCCCACUGUCUAUAUAGUUUAUAUGUCUCAAUUCAAUAUAAUACAACGCAAUAGGAUGUUAUAUUUAUAUACAACGUGCGUGGCAUGGGGAUGCAUUUACCUGUCUUUAUGUGAGAAGUAAAGUCAGAGAAAGAGAGGGAGAGAAGGGGAGAGAAAUAUAGAUCCUUCGACUCCACAUUUAGAAUCAUCGAUCUAAUGGUUUUUAUUGGAGUUGAUAGGCAGAGUUGGAGAACAUAUAUGCCUCCCUGACGGUAGCAAUAUCAGAGUUCUUGAAGUGCAGCUUGGCACUUCAGCGAAGGGCCCAUGGCAUGGCAGGCAGUGCUCACUUCUCAGAAUCUGUCAAAAGGGGUUGAGCCCCCAUGGCUCAAUCACAUGAGUGAACUUUAUGAUAUUAUAUAUUUCCUUACAAUUUGUGGUUGUAUAUUUGUAUCAGUAUGAGUUUCAUGUUUGCUGCUGCAUCUUGAAUACUUUGUCCAGUGCUAUAGAAUUCAAUCUUCAGGUGAGUGAAGCAUUUCCAUCAGAUGUUAAUUUGAAGCUUCCUUGAGCAUAUAUAGACAAGGCUUGGUUUGCUUUGCGAAGGACAAAUCUGGUCUUUGGUUGGUCCUUGUUAGCAGUUCCAGCAAUGAUAUAAUAUGCUGUUUGACUAUGUAAAUGCUUGAACUCAGAGUUUUAGACCAAGUAUCCAGUACGGACUAGCUAGUUUGUUGUCAGCUCUGUUCUUUUUUCUUUUUCCUUGUUUUCUGUAUUAUGCAAUUGUUUUCUGGUGCAACACAAUGUGCUAGGACCACCAUCAUUUUAACCUAGGUUUUCUUUGUGAUUGUUCAUACAACAUUUCCUCGUUGUCAGCUUGUGAUACAAACAUAUUGCUAAGACUGAAACUUAUAUUCCAAACCUCAAAAAAGUUUAGUAGCAGCAGAAUCCCUCAACCAGAAGGGAAGACUAACAUGUCGGAUGGUGGUAUUCGAUUCAUUUUAGUUUGUCACUUUUCAAGCAAUAUGCCCAUCUGCCACUUGUCAGCUAAGCCAGCCACCACAUUUCGUCCCCAUUCGUCGUCCCAAUUGGUUCACCUUCUUUUUUGUGUAAGUUGGUUCAGGAUCUCACUUAAAGAUGAAGUGCCUGGCCUUGAUUUUCCCCAAACAAGUCUGGCGACUGAGCUUUUUCCUGGGAUAAUAAGGAUAAAGCCUGCUGGCCUCACUCAUUUGGGUACAAAGUCGCAAGCAACUCAGAAUCAGCAGCCUAAUGGUUUAUUAUCCUGUUAAGGUUCAAGGUCCAAAUCCAACCCAACUUCCCCAUCUCCCUUAACCUCCGAGUUAAAUAUUGGUGCUCAAAGCAUGUAACAGCCUAAAGGAUUGAACCCACCAAAGUUCCUAAAUAACAAAAAGUGUAAAGAACUUAAAGACGCAAUAUUAAGAGCAAUUUAUUUUUCUUCUUAGCAGACCAGGAGGAACAAAUACAGUCAAACUUUCCAUGCUUGAUAUAACACUAAAGGGGAUAAACAAAAGAUAUGGGAUAGUUGGCAUGGUUCGUUUACAGGACGGAAAAGAGCUAAAAGUGGAGAACAAAGGAAGUUCACCGGCUUGAGAAGCUGGAAAUGAUGAUGCUGUGAGUGAAAUUUAGUCAAACUUCUACACCAGUCCAUGAUAUUAGAAUUAAGGUAUGUAUAAUAUAAUGGAGACAAGUGUUGC
rnacentral:lncRNA from 1 species